ensembl:lncRNA
AGUAGUGAGUAGUGAGUGCACCCCUGCCCUCAGAGCAGCUCCACAGUCCACAGUGUGGAUUAUCAGGCAGCGCUUCCUCACAGUAUCUGUUGCUGCUGCUGCUCACUGACUCCUCCCUCACUUCCUCACACUCCACCAAACUCACUCAGUGUGUGGAUGCCCGCCGUACCAGCGCCGAGCAGCCCACACCACCCAGCCCGGCCGCCCUUACCGCGUUUCAGAGCGUUAAAAUGAGACUGGAGUUUUUAAAAGUCGGUUUUAUAACUGUGUUUUAUUAGAUGCGCGUCUCGCGGGGGGUUUUGGCGCCACGAUGGCCAAUUUAAAACGGCAGCGGUCGUGGCACGAGGACUUCUCCAGAAACUUUCUCCGACUGUUUUCCAGAAGUAGGUCUGUGGAGCAGGAAAAAACGGACACGGAGGCUGAAAAUGGGGAAGAACAUGAGGAUGACAGCACUGUCGGCCAGUCUGAUGAUGCCGACACAGCAUUUGCACCUUUGCAUCACCUCACCAUGGAACCAGCGGCACAGACACUGGGGCAGUCAGAGCAAGACCGGCUCCUGGAGACGCACAGUGUGGAUGAUCCGGAGCACAGGGUGCAAGACAACAAUGCGGAUCGCGACCCUCUUCCCGUCACCCCUUCUGCCCUGGAGCCCAGCUCUCCGCCGCCCCCUGUAGACGGCUUCUUCAGAAGGCUGGGCAGCCUGUUCCUAUUCGGUCGAGCUGAGCCCGGGGGAGCUGACGGGCAGAGUCAGCCCGGCACGGUGUUGGAAGCACAGGGAGCAGUGGACACGCAGCACACUGACCCCAAAACACUGCUUACAGGGAGCACCGAGGCACAGACGAGUGUGGAGGAGGGAGGAGAGCAGCGUCUGAAGCCUACGGAGCUGUCUCAGUCUCAGGAGCUGUCUAACUCAGCGGCUGGUCCAGAGGUUAAAUCCACAGGGCAAGCAAAGCAAGACAUAGAAAACACACAGCUGCAGGAGGAGGUGCAGGCUGACCAAGAUGAAGAAGGCCUAGUAGACAGUCCAUCUUCAGAUGAGGAGCAGGAGCGACGGCGUGCUCUAGCGUCUCCCCCUGUGGUGACGCAUGUGACAUAUCGUGGCCUCAGGGAGAUCAGGAAAAUGAGGAGGAAGCAGGAGGUGCGUCUUCAUUCGCCAAUCUCCGAGGGAGAAGAGGGGCAGCAUGGGGCUGGUGUGGGCAUGUCUGCCCCAGAAGAGAAAGUGGAGACACUGCAUGGGGCAAGCGCAGGCAGUCCUUGUGUGGCUGCAUCUGGGGAGGGGUUAAACUAUCAGAGACAUGUUUCCCAAGGUUCUUCAUAUGCACCUUCCAGCAGUCAUAUCCUUGAAGAUGAAGGGGGAGUUGACAGUGCUUUGAGCCAAAGUGCCUUACAGACACAUACGGUGGCCAGAACACAGCCUGCUGGUUUAGAAUCUGACCUGGCACUGGUUCAUGGCACCUCCUGUCCUGGUGAAAAAUCUGUUUGUUUAGUGGUUGAUGAAGCUAGUGAAAUGCACGUUGAUGGACUGGAGCCUCUGGAGAUGGCAUCAGGCCGUGAAACUCAGUCCCUGUUUCAUUCUGAUGUUUUGCUGGACCCACUUACUGCUCAACCACUAGAGACCUCCCACUCGCAGCUGUCUGACACUGCCACAGACUCAAACACACACUUGACUGACAUUACCACUGUCCCUAGCUCACACACAUGCUUCUGUCUUGGUUCAGACAUUGCUUCUAAUUGCUGCCAGGAAAGCCAGCUCUCUGUUACACAACUAGACGUGCAAGACCCUGAGAGCAACCAAACCUAUCUGUCAUCCAAGGCAGAGAUAUCAGGACAAGCUGCCUGGAAGGCAGAACUUGUCCCAAAGGACGAAACCACGCAGUUAGGGCUAGCUGAGGAGCAGUUGGCUUUGGAUGAUGAGACAUUGCAGCUGGAGUCCAAGAAGAUGGUGGAUGACAUUCUAAAAAACGCCUUAGCUGCUCUGGAGAAGAUUGAUGCUUCUAAUCGAGAGAGUGAGACUCCCAUUAGUGAGGAGCUUAAUGAGGGUGCUGAGACCCUCAUGCUUAUGAGAGCAGGGAACAGCAUGGGUGGAUCAGCUAGUGUGGAGUGCAUGUUCAGAGAACAUUUACCUGUUCAGGCUGACGGAAACCCGCAGUUGAACCUCUCAGAUGACACUCUGGGUGGCCGAGCGCAGGCAGAUGGUUGCAGGUCCACUCCGUCCUCAGGGUAUGAGUCAAUUGCUGGCUCGGACACGGACAUCCGGAGCAUGACCAUGAAUUCUGACAUCAACACUUCACUUAGUGGGCCAUUCGGCACAUUCUGUACAGAGCCAGAACUCAAAGAGGAAUCAGAGACUGAGGAGAGGGAACUGUGUAUGGAUGGGGGUCCUGUCUGUCAGAAUGACGAAAUAAGACAGAACUUUGUGCAUAGCACUUUGCACCUUAAGGUGAACCUUGAAGAGAGGGAAGGACCUGAAGGAACUGAGGCAAACAAUGAACUAUUAUUCCAAUAUGAUCUUAGCGAUAGCAAUAUUAGUCAUAAAACAAAUAUCCCAUCUGCACAGCAAGCCAUAUCGGAAUCUUUAUCUGGGGUAAACAAAGGGGCGGAACAGUGUGCUGUAGAGGAGCAUGGAGUGCAUGUGUGUGUUACACAAAGAGAGAAUGACCAUUCAGGGCUUCAGAAUGCAGCCAAAGUCAAUACUGAAAGCAAUAACUAUGGUAAUGCAUUGGGUUUGGACUCAGGUGAUGCGUCUUCAAUCAUUAAUAAUGUAGACUUGAAGCAGGUGCAGAGUAUAAGCGAACGUUUAUCUCCAACAGGAAUGAGGAAUGUGGAUUCAUAUCAGCUUCCUCAUAUCUCUGAAAUUAGAGACUUCUCUGGGAAAGAGGACAGACCAAACCUGUCAGUCAGGCAAAGCCAUGUGGCUGACGAAACUUUAGCACUUCACCUAGAGAAGCCCAAACUGGCUUCUCAGGAUCCACAAAGUGGGCACACUCAGGGGCUGUUUAACUGUGCUGAGGAAAGUGAUGAGGGGCCAGACUUUGCUCUGGUUAAGACAUACUUGGCGACUGUGGUUGAGGAUGGACCAGAUAGUGGGAUGCCCUCUGCUGUUCCAGGCUGCAGUACAAUUAAAGUGUUUGUUUGUAGUGCCACAGAUGACCAAAGCCAGGACCAUAAGCCAGAUUUAUUGACAGGGCCCAGUCUUCACUCCCCAGGAAGGCUUGCAUCCCUCCCUAUUUCAGUCAGAGCCCACUUAGACAUCCCUGGCACUUCUUCACGGCCACAAACCACUGACCUGCACCAAAUCCCUGGUGGUUUUACAAUCAUCAGUGAAGAAGAAGAGUUAGACACUGUGUUUGUGAACGACACCGGGCCAAUGCUUAGUCCCAGCACACGACGGGCCAAAGCCUACCCAUUCUCUCUCUCCCCCAUAUAUGAAGAGGAAAGUGGGCGAGAGGACACCUCACGGGACGACCUCCUGCAUGUUCCCCCUGCCACCGAAGAGGAGCAGCGCAGUGUGGAGCAGCAGGCCUCCUCCAUCCUCUCACUGCUGCAGUCAGUGAGUGAAAGGCUGCAGUCGUCUGUCUACAGCGAAUCAGAAGACUCUGAGGAGAAGCUUGAGGAGCCAGAGAGCCCUCAACGCUUCCUUAGGCCUCUCUGGGACCGCUACGAGGAUGACGAUAAUGAAGAUGCUGCAACUGAUGAACAGUCAAGUUUGCUACUGCAGCAACAGCUUACAGGAAUCAGACUUCACAGUGAGGAAUUGGAAUUGGAACCUGCUGUAGAUGCCUGUUCUUCUUCCAGCUUCAUUCCAGACCAGAAAACUACUAGUGGAAUACCGUUUGAAGAACCAGGGGCGCAGCAUUGCAAACCCACUCUGAAUAAUAAUAUUAAUAAUGUUGUUAGGAAAGCUAACACCCCCUUCUAUGAAUAUUUGAAGUCCAACAUAGUGCCAUCGCUCGAUACAGAGAAGCAAGCAAGUAAAGCUUUUCAUCAUAAUGAGGGAAGUCCAACAUCUAGUACUCUGGUAAGCAUUCUAAUUAAAUGGGUUGUUUAUUGA